AAAAAAAAUGAUAUAUAGAAGUUAUAUUUAAUUUUUUACAUUUAUUUACUUAUAAGUCACAUUAAAGAUCCACUUGGCUUACUAAUGCAAGGGGGCCCAUGACACAGUUUGGUGGGUAGACUGUGUGAACGUAACUUCAUGUGUGCUGUUUUUUUUUUUUUUUCAUAGCAUAAAUGUAAAAGGCUUGCGUUUCUGAGUGAUUGAUUAGAUGAGUGAGUAAUGUGUGUGUGAGUGUGUGUUUACCAGUUAACACAGCAGGGAGUGGACAGAAGGGCCAAGUGUGACAGGUGGACAGGCGUGAUAAGGAGAGAGCGGUGCAGACCAGCGCUCAGCAGAAGCAGAGCCCAGGAGAAUAUCCAGCCAAAAGCAGCUAAUAGCUGAUACUCAUCAGAGAUAGAGCCGCUGAAGAUUUCUUGUCUCUGUGGAAUAGUCGUUCAUUUCGCUUCAGCCCAAAUUCUCCUCCCUAAAAAUGUACUGUAUUUUGUACAGUCGUGAAAAGAUGUUGUUAAUCAAGUUUAAUACAAAAGGACAAUCAAUGCUGGGACUGAAGGAAUAUGCCAUGAUUUUACAGAUUUCACAUCAGUGUAUCCUAGAGUUUCAGAAGAGAUCUCAGCAAUGUUGUAACUGCAACAUGGGACGAAAAGGAAAAUUCAGAGGGAGCGAGAAUAAUAAAUGCAAAUUAUGA
ensembl:lncRNA